rnacentral:rRNA from 1 species
UACGAAGGGGGCUAGCGUUGCUCGGAUUUACUGGGCGUAAAGCGCACGUAGGCGGAUAUUUAAGUCAGGGGUGAAAUCCCGGGGCUCAACUCCAGAACUGCCUUCGAUACUGGCGAUCUUGAGUCCGGAAGAGGUGAGUGGAACUCCUAGUGUAGAGGUGGAAUUCGUAGAUAUUAGGAAGAACACCAGUGGCGAAGGCGGCUCACUGGUCCGGUACUGACGCUGAGGUGCGAAAGCGUAGGGAGCAAACAGG